GAUGAACGCUGGCGGCAUGCCUAAUACAUGCAAGUCGAACGGACUAAAGAGAAAAGCUUGCUUUUUUUGGAAGUCAGUGGCGAACGGGUGAGUAACACGUAGGUAACCUGCCCAUGUGCCCGGGAUAAUUUCUGGAAACAGCUGCUAAUACCGCAUAAUGCAACGGAAUCGCAUGACUCUGUUGCCAAAGAUUUAUCGCUCUGAGAUGGCCUCGCGUCUGAUUAGCUAGUUGGCGGGGUAACGGCCCACCAAGGCGACGAUCAGUAGCCGGACUGAGAGGUUGGCCGGCCACAUUGGGACUGAGACACGGCCCAG
rnacentral:rRNA from 1 species